UUUCAAUUAUACAUACAAAAUUCAAGAAAUAUAGACAAUACUACACUUCAAUAAUUUAUUUUUCUGCAAAUGAAUAGAAUUUGAAAGUAAAUAAAACAAUUAAUACUUUGAUUUUCAGAUAUUCGUUUAUGCAAGACAAAGAGUAUUUCCGGCUGUUUCGCUGAUUUGGAAAAUAGGUUUGUAGUGUUUGGAUGGACUAAUAAAGGCUAUAUCAUUUUCAAUGCGUUAUCAUCAGCAACCGCUACAUAUAGAUGAUUUUAACUCAAUUGAGUGAAAUAUUUUAUUCUUGCAUAGAGUCUGGGAAAACGUAAAAAAAAUUAAUUUCGGGAGCACAAUGUCGUCGAAAAGAAAUAAGGAUUCAUUUCAUUGUUAGAAGAAAAAAGUUUUUUUUAUUGAAUAAGUAAUCUACACACAUCUGUAUCAAAAGAAGAAAGAAGUAAAGCGAGUAGUAUAUACCAAACAGCGGAACAUAUGCAGGAGGAAUGGAAAUUUCCACAUCAGGUAUCUAAGAAAUGAAUUUGGCUUGGAUUUUUGCCAACUUAAGAUGUCGAAUUCUUUCGUAAGUAAAAUUGACUGCCAGAAAACUUGUUCCACAUUGGAAAUUCUGCUAACGUUACUUUGAGCAAUCGUUAUUGAAGUUAUGUUCGCUUUUAAGAUAUGUAUUUUGCUCAAAUACUUCAGCUGCUGCUUAGCCAAUUGAAAUAAAUUGCAUCAAACGCAUAGAAAUGAAAUUGAGCAAUAAAAAUUUGAAUGAACAUUAUAUGUAUAUUAUUAUGACCACUGAGACCAAAACAUCUUAACAUCCAAUGGAACAAUACUACAAAAAACAUUGAAAUGAAAAAUACUAAUAAUAAUAACAUUGACAACAAUGCAAGAGACUGAAGGUAAAAAGUAGUUUGAUUAUUCGUGCGUUUUCAAAGCUGACUGUUGGCAGCAAAAAUUACAUCAUACGUUGUUGAUUUAAACACCAGGGUUCUGAAAGCCGAGCAAAUGCCUUUAAUGGCAAUACACGGUUGCUACGGUGGUGGAGCCUUUUCCAAAAGAAAUUCAGAAUUUCUUCUUAUUGAAUAAAGUGAGAAGUGCAAUGAAAUACACAAAAAAAAAGCAAGUGAAAAUAAUUCACAAGUCAAUUUUAAUGGAGCUUUCUGGCAACAUGACAUUUUCGGGUUAUCAGAGGGUCAAUGUAUGGUGGAAUGCUGCGGGGAUCUUUGUAACAAAGUCACAAGGCAAGUAGUCAUAAAUAGCUCAAAUUUUUACGAAAAUAUUGAUGUUAAAUUUUAACUAACGAAUGCAAAUGACUAUAUCAAUCAAACUAUACAAAUAUCUAUAAUUUCAACUUCCAAAUCCUAUAAAGCUAAUCUAAAUAUUCUGUCAUAUAAAUAAACUCAAUGAAACGAGAUUUAAUAUAUUGGGUAUAUGAGGGAAGAGUCAAAAGUAGAGACGGAAAUUAUUACAUUUGGGAUAUUAGGACUAGGCGGUGGAUUAGACAUUGAUAACUCGCCCACUGACUGACAUGUUCGGCAUUACGACUUCGGUCCUUUAUAGGUAUAGAAUCAAUUGACUUAAGCGCCUAUUGAAGUCUUCAUUUGACAAAUGCAAGGAAAAACGUUUACCAAAAUUUUGGAGUUUUCUAGCCCGUGAUUUGAAACCAGAUGUAAUUGCAAACGGACUCACACAUUGCACAUGCACCUAAACAGAUAUCAAUGAUAUUAUUCCAGUAUAACCGAAGUAUUAAACGUAACAUUAGAUAAUGUGUUUGCAGUAAACAAAGUGCCAUCAAGUGGAAAAUGCACAUGCAAAAGCUCGAGUACAGCCUCUCCAAGGCAGCCGUUGUGGCACCAUCCAACAAUAACAACAACAAGAGUUUAUGUGAACAUACUUAUAUGUUUUUAAUGCAGUGCAUUAUUGGCAUGCUUAAGAUAAAUUUAAGAAAAUAUAACUUCUAAGAGAAGGUAUGAGCUGAAUGCAUUAUUAUGGCAUUAAACUAUAGCGUGCUAGCGUGCUAUAGUUAGCCAAUUUUAUUAAAACAAUUUACUUUUGACCAACACAUGAACAUAAUGGAACGUUUUAUUUAAAAUUAUGAUGAAGGCCCUAAUAACGGCUUGCAACCCAACUAAAUUUUGCUUGAAGUUUUGAGAUUCGGUAUUAUCUUUAUCAACUCAAUCCGUCAAAACACUUUCGGUUGAAAUGUUGUCAAACUUAAACCAUUUUUGGUUACACGGUUUUAACUGCCUUAAAAUUGAGUGGAG